CACGCCGUAAACGAUGAGUGCUAGGUGUUGGGGAGACUCAGUGCCGCAGCUAACGCAAUAAGCACUCCGCCUGGGGAGUACGACCGCAAGGUUGAAACUCAAAGGAAUUGACGGGGACCCGCACAAGCAGCGGAGCAUGUGGUUUAAUUCGAAGCAACGCGAAGAACCUUACCAGGUCUUGACAUCCUCUGACAAUCUGAGAGAUCAGACUUUCCCUUCGGGGACAGAGAGACAGGUGG
rnacentral:rRNA from 1 species